rnacentral:snoRNA from 24 species
UAACACCUUUUACAGUAGGAUCAUUUCUAUAGGAAUCGUCACUCUUUGACUCUUCAAAAGAGCCACUGAAUCCAACUUGGUUGAUGAGUCCCAUAACCUUUGUACCCCAGAGUGAGAAACUGAAAUUAAAUCUAAAUUAGCUUGGUCCGCAAUCCUUAGCGGUUCGGCCAUCUAUAAUUUUGAAUAAAAAUUUUGCUUUGCCGUUGCAUUUGUGACUUCUUCCUUUGGAAGUUGUCACUACUAAAUGGCGCGAUGAUCUUGACCCAUCCUAUGUACUUCCUUUUUGGAAGGGAUAGGGCUUUAUGGGUGGGUACAAAUGGCAGUCUGACAAGU